rnacentral:rRNA from 1 species
GACGAACGCUGGCGGCGUGCUUAACACAUGCAAGUCACGGGGGGUAGCAAUACCAACCGGCGAACGGGUGCGUAACACGUGAGCAACAUUCCGAUUUCUGGGGGAUAGCCGGCCCAACGGCCGGGUAAUACCGCAUACGCUCAUUGAGAGGAGUCUCUCGAUGAGGAAACCUCCGGGGGAAAUCGACUGGCUCGCGGCCUAUCAGCUAGUUGGCGGGGUAAUGGCCCACCAAGGCGAUGACGGGUAGCUGGUCUGAGAGGAUGGCCAGCCACAUUGGGACUGAGAAACGGCCCAGACUCCUACGGGAGGCAGCAGUGGGGAAUCUUGCGCAAUGGUCGAAAGACUGACGCAGCGACGCCGCGUGAGGGAGGAAGCUCUUCGGGGUGUAAACCUCUGUUGCCCGGGACGAAUGCUGGAAUUCAUUCCAGUUGACGGUACCGGGUGAGGAAGCGCCGGCUAACUCUGUGCCAGCAGCCGCGGUAAUACAGAGGGCGCGAGCGUUG